GGUCCAUGCAUGUGAGCCAAUGGGGAUGUGGGGCAAGAUGAAGACAGACCUGAGCUGCGGGGACAGGAGCAGUGGCCUAACAUCUCUCCCUGGUGUCUCUGCUAUUGAAAACACUUGUCCUGAAGAUGGGGACCACCUGAAGAGAUGCCUAGGGAACAGACUCCCCUUAAAAUUUGACAAGGAUAUAUCCUGGGACCUAGGGAGCACAGACCAAGUGGGGCUAGCGUUCUCACAGAAGGACAUCGAGGUGUCUGGGAAAGAGACUUUGGCAGGUCCAGCUGUAUUCGAGCUUGGAGAUUCAGACUCAGGCUCCCAUACUUGUGUGGCAAGCGCCGUAUCUGCUGAGCUCUUCUAUCUCUCUCGAUUCUCUGGAGAUCUAAUGAAUCCAGGUGGGAAGCUUGCCUGCCUGGCUCGGGUGAAAUCUUGGAUGGACAAGGGGAGACCAGCACCUUGCUACUUCAGGCACACACAGCCCUGCUAAUCAGUUUCAUCUCAGGUCCCCUGUCCAGGCCCUCAACUGACAUCUUGCUCCCAACCACACUCAGCUUUGCUUCCUUGACCUGCCUUACCUGGCUCCUUAGCUCUGACCUGCACCCCGAAGUUGCUGGUCCAGCUGGCAGAGCUGUCGGAGGAAGCCACGAUUGGGGAAGAUCCAUCGGCGCUCCCUCACAGUGAUUAUGGCCUGCUGCAAGGACAGCUGCUGGUGGAGCAUGAGGUAAGCCAGGACCAGUGUGGCAGAUCGGCUCACACCCACCACGCAGUGCACCAGCACCUUAGCUGAGGAAGACACUCAGAUGAAGGACUCCUCUCUACUAGCCAGCCCACCCAAGGUCCAUUCCCGAACCUGUGUUGGGUGUAUCAUGGUGUAUCAUGCCUGGGGCAAGUUCCUCAAU
rnacentral:lncRNA from 1 species